GAAUGGCCAUUCCCGACCCACCCCCCGGAAUCAGAAUCCCAUUCCCGCUAUCUAAUAUAAAAAAACCAAAAUGACAAAAAAAUCCAACUUUCUCAUCCUUUUGUCGCUCCCUCCUCCAGCAAAAGUUCGAAGUACUGAUCUGAAUCGAAACUCCGGCGAAAAUGACGACGAGUUUUUCCGCUGUAGACCAGGCCAGACCAAACCGCAACAAGGUAUGCUUUCCUCGAUUUUCCUUUGUAUGAAAUGCAUGUUAAAUUUAGCAUCUCUUCUUUCAAAUAUUUAAAUGUGCUUUAAUUUUUUUCCCAAUUUCAGUUUGGAAUGCAUCCUUAUGUGAGUAGAGUUAUUUGGUUGUUAGUUUUGUAUGGUGUUUGAAUUUUUCUAUGUUUAUUUUGUUGUUUGCCCGAUUUAGCUCUAUCUUUGUAGCUAAUAAGUCUGAAAGAUCUCUAUCAAGUUUAUUAAAGUACAAUAACAUUCUAAUAUAAUUUCAAAUUAGAUAGAAGUCUGAUUAAACAUGAAUAGUGACAAUAGAAAGCAAGAGUUUGAAAUCAACAAAUCAGAAACAAUAGCAAAAGUUUCAUAAACAAAAUCUCAUGUACUAGAGUCCAGUAAUGGGCUUUCUUCAGAGAAAAUGUCAAAGAAAAAAAACAAAGAAAAAGAAAUUAGGACCUUUUAGACUAUGCUCAUGCUGUGCAUUGCCAAUGGCAGGCAAGCACAGAUCGGAGGGGAUCAUGUCAAAUUGGGUGUUGGAUGAAAAAAUUCUGCCAAAUCAUAUAAGUGCUGAUUUGGAGUUUGAAAUCCAAGCAAAGUCAGUAGUCUUAUGUUGCCAACCCUAAAGAAUUGUUAGAAGGUACUAGUGAGAAUGACAAGAAAGAUGACUAGCAAUCAUCUGUGAGAAAUAUAAAAAAGAACGAGAAAAGAAAAAAGAAAAAAAAAAUCCAUUACCACCCAAUUGCACCUCCACUCUUUAGAUCAGCACACACCAACAACCAAUUAUAGCAACCAUUUGAAAGCAAAACCCAAACUCCACUCCAAAUCCCAGCAUUAUAACAUUCUUUCAAAAUUUGUUAGUAGUUAUUACAUCCAUCAACAAGGUUGAAAUUGAUACAACCAAUAGAAUAGUUGAUUCUUACCACAAACCAACAACUUGGGAGUUGGGUCAAAUUACAGAUAGUGAGUAUUUGAGUGAUAUGUUUCUUUGCAUGCAUUAAAGCCCAAAUAAGCCUUUAGUUCAGAUCACAGAAGUUAAUUGGGCCUUCAACCAACAAAGGUGAUCUAUUUCAUUUGUGCCUCUCCAAUAUUUUCUAAGGAUGGUAGGAUCCUUAGAACUAGUGUUUGCAGAUUCAGGUGUUGACAUUGAAUAUACGAAGAGCAUUUGUGCCAUCAAAGAUCUAGACAUACUCAUGAUUUCCCAUUAUUGUGGCCAUGCUGCUUUGAUGUGAUGGAUCACCUUAUUUGCUAUAAAUUUUCAUUUGAGGGCCUGUGUUUUUAAUCUACAGUGUGGUGGGUUGACUACUUGGAUGAAAGAGUUUCCAUGUUUUCAGACAUUUCUGCCAAGGCUUAUAUUGCUUUCUUGGCAUUGGGAUUUCUCUCAACUUUAUCUGAAGUGGCAAAAAUGGAGGGGCAGGACAAAGGGUAGAAAUUCAAAUUUUGUAUCAAGUAGGAAGGGAUGCAAAUUUUAAAGUUGUCAUGACAAUCAUGAUUAGGCAUCACAAGCCACAAAUUUUUGGAACAAUUGCUCUUGAGCCUUGGUUUUUUCUGACCAAUUCUCUAGACCAACCCAAUCCUAACUAACCAGCUCCGGUUCCAAGGCUUCAACCUAAAUCAAAACCAAAUCAAAUCAGCUUGUAGUGGUUAUAGUGAUUUUACCUGAAACUUGAGUUUACUUGGCUUAGCAGGGCUUAUCUAGAUUGCUUCCUUCCCUCUACCAAAAUUCUCAUAUAUGCACAUGUCUAAAGACAAUAAUCAACAUUAUUUAAAUUUUUUUUUCAGUAAAUCAACAUAGUUGAUAUAAGAGACACUCAAAAAACAUUAGAUCAAAAUGAGUGAAUGUAGUUUUCAGGAUAUAGCAUUUCUAAUAGAAAACCAAGUUAGGCUCUUCCUCUCUUGAGAGGCACCUCAGUGCUUGGUUCAAAUUCCAGUCUUUUACAUUUUCUCCACUUCCACCUGUAUGGUUUUACUUUCCGCCAAUGGGUCCUUUAAUUGAAAGAACCUCACAAAUUGACAGGUGUCAAUGGAAACAUACUUAAAUUUUGAUUCAAUUUUUGUAUAAAUGUUUGUGCCAUAUUUCUUAUCAGGUUUCUUCAUAUUAUUGGUGCAACUGAAUUAAUAAAAAAUGCUACUACAAUUAAAGAUGAGAUGUUGUAGCUAGAGGAAGCCAGAAGGUUUCACAUUUCCUUGUAUUCACAGCUUCUAGCGGAAAGGAUUUUUCAGUUCUAGUCUCCAAGACCAAGGACACAACAGUAGCAGAAACAAUGGACUACACUGACCUUCCACACUCUCAGAUAAGAAAAGUCACAGCUUCAUGCUUGCUACUUUCAAAACAAACUAUUCCUCAUUACUAAUUGACAGUGGACACAUGUGUUGACAAACUUAUGGAUUAUGCAGGUUCAUCCAAGUAUGUGCAAGGGAGCUUAUGUGUCCAGCUUAUCAUGAACUAUGUAACACCACAUCAGCACCAUAUCUUGAACUAUGGACCAUUAUAAAUGGAAGCAAUUAAUCCCUGCAAUUGGCUCCUAUACCAAUAUGUCUCAUAUCCAAGCAACAGUUAUUUGUUCUAGAAAAGCAUGCCUGCAACUUUGUAUCCGAAGUGGUGGCCACGAUUACGAGGGACUUUCAUAUGCAUCUGUUGUUCCAUUCAUCAUUGUUGACCUACUAAAUUUUUUAUCUAUUGACGUUGAUAUAGAAGAUAACAGUGCAUGGAUUCAAGUUGGACCAAUUCUUGGGGAUGUUUAUUAUAGAGUUGCAGAGAUUUUGUUUGUUUAUGUAUUUUUCUUUUCAUUUUUUAUGGUGGAGAAUGAUUUUUUUCUUGUGAUUUUUGUUUGUUUAUGUGUUUUUCUUUUCAUUUUUUUUUUCAUAUUUUCUCCAUAUAUGCACUUGUUAGCAGGUU